rnacentral:rRNA from 1 species
AUUGAACGCUGGCGGCAUGCCUUACACAUGCAAGUCGAACGGCAGCACGGGGGCGAACCCUCGGUGGCGAGUGGCGAACGGGUGAGUAACACAUCGGAACGUACCCGGUGGUGGGGAGUAGCCCGGCGAAAGCCGGAUUAAUACCGCAUACGACCUACGGGUGAAAGCGGGGAGUCGUAAGACCUCGCGCUAUCGGAGCGGCCGAUGUCAGAUUAGGUUGUUGGUGGGGUAAAGGCCUACCAAGCCGANGAUCUGUAGCUGGUCUGAGAGGACGACCAGCCACACUGGGACUGAGAC